AAAUGAAUAGACGGGGGCCCGCACAAGCGGAGGAACAUGUGGUUUAAUUCGAUGAUACGCGAGGAACCUUACCCGGGCUCGAACGGCAGAUGACGUAUACAGAGACGUAUAUUCUCUUCGGAGCGUCUGUCGAGGUGCUGCAUGGUUGUCGUCAGCUCGUGCCGUGAGGUGUCGGCUUAAGUGCCAUAACGAGCGCAACCCUUGUCGAUAGUUGCCAUCGGGUCAUGCCGGGGACUCUAUCGAGACUGCCUCCGUAAGGUGUGAGGAAGGGGGGGAUGACGUCAAAUCAGCACGGCCCUUACGUCCGGGGCGACACACGUGUUACAAUGGUGGUUACAGAGGGUCGCUCCCUGGUGACAGGCUGCCAAUCUCCAAAAGCCAUCUCAGUUCGGAUCGGAGUCUGCAACUCGACUCCGUGAAGUUGGAUUCGCUAGUAAUCGCACAUCAGCCACGGUGCGGUGAAUACGUUCCCGGGCCUUGUACACACCGCCCGU
rnacentral:rRNA from 1 species